AUGGCCGCCGCCGCUUCGGAGCCGGAGCGUGCCCCCGAGCAGCAGGGGCCCGCCGCAGACAUAGGAGGUGCCAAAGAUGCAAUGAAGGAGAGCUUUGUGGUAGAGCAAUCGGAACCGCUGGCCAAUCCAAAGGAUAGUGGCGAGCCAAAGCGUAAGGUCGUGAAGCGCAACAGUAAGCUAGAGAAGGACAGGGAGUUGUUGCAACUUGCCCAGAGGUACCAUGGAGUGGUAGCGGAGAGGGAUGCAGGCAAGUUUCUGUUAUCCAAAAUGUGA
rnacentral:rRNA from 1 species